CAGCCUGCCAGCACCUCACUCGUGUCCUCGCCUUCACGCCGCCACUAAAGUCACUUCCCACACGCAGCACAGACCAGUACUUUCCCUGCGACACUCGCUCUUCCUCUUCCUGACACUCUGCACCCUCCACUCCCUUCCUCUACCCUCCCUCCACCAGCGCUCCCUCCCUCCACCAGUUUUCUAGUUCCGUGUUAUAUUUCAGUGAAUAAACGAGUGACAUCAGUUGUAAAUAUUUGACCCACACUUACCAAACAAAUAAAAGAUUUAGACCUCCACUGAAAUGUUCAUGAUUACACAGAGAUUACCCAACUUUGCGUGACAGGCAGGCGUGACGUGUCCAAGGGAGGGGAGGAGUGAAGGGAGGGUCAGCGGAGGAAUACAGGGUGGGAGGAAGGAAGGGGAAGCAGAUGGAGGAGAUCCACUCACAGGAUUCUGCGUUGUUGAUUUGUGUGUGGAAGUAUCGUGGGUUUUGCCUGCCUCCAUUGUUGCUCGUCUGCUGAAUUAAGUUGGAAUCUUUGCCACGGUGCCUGUCUCUCUGUGCUCAGGUUUAUUGGAGCUCUCAGUGAUACUGUGUUGAGCUGCUCCAGUACGUUCAGCUGCUGCAUCAGUACUGAAGAAACGUCCUUUCUCACCAAGAAGCAGACACAUUCUGUAGAACACUGCCAUCUGGGUGUCCUCUGUCUGGAUGCCUGCGUCUUUAUCCUCCUGCACCAGCCCGGGCAUUCCCACCACAGAAUGAAUAUCAUGUCCGA